rnacentral:rRNA from 1 species
UCCUACGGGGCGCAGCAGUGAGGAAUAUUGGUCAAUGGCCGGAAGGCUGAACCAGCCAAGCCGCGUGAAGGACGAAGGUGCCAAGCAUUGUAAACUUCUUUUGUCAAGGGACAAAAUCAGGCUCGAGAGCCUGACCGAGGGUACUUGAAGAAAAAGCAUCGGCUAACUCCGUGCCAGCAGCCGCGGUAAUACGGAGGAUGCGAGCGUUAUCCGGAUUUAUUGGGUUUAAAGGGUGCGUAGGCGGGCCGGUAAGUAAGCGGUAAAAACCCGGGACUCAACCCC